GAAAAAAGUACAGAGUGACAGAAGGACACACAGCAGAUGGGCUCGUGACCACAAAACCUUUGAGAACCUUUUUACUGGACUGAGGAGGCUGAAGGUUUCCCACUGCAGGCAGAACAGACUCUGUUGGAAGGACUAAAGGUGACUGCAGGUUUUUACCAACAUGGAAAGACCAGACUCUCCUGAGCCUGAGAUCAGACUCAGCUCUGUAACAAUGAGGGAGAGAAGCUCUCCAGAGAAAGACCGUCCUGACUUUAAAAGCAGGGAACUGACUCCUGAUGAGAGGAUCAGUGAGACACCAGAUGCGCUUGAACCUGAACCUGGACCCAGCUGUGUGUCUUUGAAGAGUGAUCGGUCAAAGAUUUUCAUCUUUGACUUUAAAGGAAGAAAGUCUGCUGCUGCUGAGGAGUAAGACAUUUCACAUUUACCUUACAGCUCUGUGGUACACCUGGCCUCAGUCCUGAGAUUGAAGAGCUCCAUAAGUGAGGCUGCUAACUUAAAAGAAAAAUAAAUCUAUUUUAACAGCCCUGCAUCCCCUGCACUGGGCAUCACACUGAUUAUAAUUUAUGUGAUAAUCAGCAGGAAUGUGUCAGCAGUUAGUUUGACUCUUUUAAUUGGUAAAUUAGAGUUUCAGUCUGAUGUGGUUGCCAGUUUUGCAUAGGAAGGUGAAAUAAUCUGAAGCUGUAUGUGUGGUGCUGGAUGCCACGAUAUGAGCUGAUGGAUUUCUCUAAAUAUUAAAUAAUUCUCAUAAU
ensembl:lncRNA